rnacentral:rRNA from 1 species
CAAUAGCGUAUAUUAAAGUUGUUGCGGUUAAAAAGCUCGUAGUUGGAUUUCUGCUGAGAACGACCGGUCCGCCCUUUGGGUGUGUAUCUGGCUCUUUCUUGGCAUCUUCUUGGUGAACGUUGCUGCACUUGACUGUGUGGAGCGCUACCCAGGACUUUUACUUUGAGGAAAUUAGAGUGUUUCAAGCAGGCAUACGCCUUGAAUACAUUAGCAUGGAAUAAUAAGAUAGGACCUCGGUUCUAUUUUGUUGGUUUCUAGAGCUGAGGUAAUGAUUAAUAGGGAUAGUUGGGGGCAUUAGUAUUUAAUUGUCAGAGGUGAAAUUCUUGGAUUUAUUAAAGACUAACAUCUGCGAAAGCAUUUGCCAAGGAUGUUUUCAUUAA